AGGAGCGUUUCUUUUUCGCUGUGGUCUGCCCUCUGAUGUCUAAUUGCACUAGCGGUUAAAGUGGCCUAUAGGAAACUGCGAAAAAGUACCUACUAGCUUCCACAGAGCUUCACGAAGAGCGACGAUUACGCUUUUACACAGCUUCUCACAGGUUGAUAUGAGAGGACUUCACAUACCUUGCGCUGGUAUCCUGCUUGCCUCGCUCUUUUGCGUAUACGGAACGACGAAUU
rnacentral:lncRNA from 1 species